UUAAGAUGACGACCUACGUAUACAUAGCAGUGUCGAACGGACAGAAGGGAGCUUGCUCCCGGAUGUUAGCGGCGGACGGGUGAGUAACACGUGGGUAACCUGCCUGUAAGACUGGGAUAACUCCGGGAAACCGGAGCUAAUACCGGAUAGUUCCUUGAACCGCAUGGUUCAAGGAUGAAAGACGGUUUCGGCUGUCACUUACAGAUGGACCCGCGGCGCAUUAGCUAGUUGGUGGGGUAAUGGCUCACCAAGGCGACGAUGCGUAGCCGACCUGAGAGGGUGAUCGGCCACACUGGGACUGAGACACGGCCCAGACUCCUACGGGAGGCAGCAGUAGGGAAUCUUCCGCAAUGGACGAAAGUCUGACGGAGCAACGCCGCGUGAGUGAUGAAGGUUUUCGGAUCGUAAAGCUCUGUUGUUAGGGAAGAACAAGUGCGAGAGUAACUGCUCGCACCUUGACGGUACCUAACCAGAAAGCCACGGCUAACUACGUGCCAGCAGCCGCGGUAAUACGUAGGUGGCAAGCGUUGUCCGGAAUUAUUGGGCGUAAAGGGCUCGCAGGCGGUUUCUUAAGUCUGAUGUGAAAGCCCCCGGCUCAACCGGGGAGGGUCAUUGGAAACUGGGAAACUUGAGUGCAGAAGAGGAGAGUGGAAUUCCACGUGUAGCGGUGAAAUGCGUAGAGAUGUGGAGGAACACCAGUGGCGAAGGCGACUCUCUGGUCUGUAACUGA
rnacentral:rRNA from 1 species